UUUCCAGACUCCUACGGGAGGCAGCAGUGGGGAAUAUUGCACAAUGGGGGGAACCCUGAUGCAGCGACGCCGCGUGAGUGAAGAAGUAUUUCGGUAUGUAAAGCUCUAUCGGCAGGGAAGAAGAUGACGGUACCUGACUAAGAAGCCCCGACUAACUACGUGCCAGCAGCCGCGGUAAUACGGAGGAUGCGAGCGUUAUCCAGAUUUAUUGGGUUUAAAGGGUGCGCAGGCGGAGGUGCAAGUCAGCGGUCAAAUUGCGGGGCUCAACCCCGUACUGCCGUUGAAACUGCAUCCCUUGAGUGCGCGAGAAGUAUGCGGAAUGCGUGGUGUAGCGGUGAAAUGCAUAGAUAUCACGCAGAACUCCGAUUGCGAAGGCAGCAUACCGGCGCGCAACUGACGCUCAUGCACGAAAGCGUGGGUAUCGAACAGGAUUAGAUACCCCUGUAC
rnacentral:rRNA from 1 species